GUCGUAGCGGUGAUGACAAAUUUGUGGACUAGAGUUUCUGAUGCCGCCUCUUCAGCAGCAUCUGCAGACAACCCCUUGGCUGUCUGAGCUCCCAG
rfam:Hordeum vulgare subsp. vulgare, WGS project CAJW01000000 data, contig: morex_contig_1585019